rnacentral:rRNA from 1 species
CCUACGGGGGGCUGCAGUGAGGAAUAUUGGUCAAUGGACGAGAGUCUGAACCAGCCAAGUAGCGUGAAGGAUGACUGCCCUAUGGGUUGUAAACUUCUUUUAUAUGGGAAUAAAGUGAGGAACGUGUUCCUUUUUGUAUGUACCAUAUGAAUAAGCAUCGGCUAACUCCGUGCCAGCAGCCGCGGUAAUACGGAGGAUGCGAGCGUUAUCCGGAUUUAUUGGGUUUAAAGGGUGCGUAGGUGGUUAAUUAAGUCAGCGGUUAAAGUUUGUGGCUCAACCAUAAAAUUGCCGUUGAAACUGGUUGACUUGAGUAUAUUUGAGGUAGGCGGAAUGCGUGGUGUAGCGGUGAAAUGCAUAGAUAUCACGCAGAACUCCGAUUGCGAAGGCAGCUUACUAAACUAUAACUGACACUGAAGCACGAAAGCGUGGGGAUCAAACAGGAUUAGAUACCCUUGUAGUC